GUUGGUGAGGCAAUAGCUUACCAAGGCGAUGAUCAGUAGCUGGUCCGAGAGGAUGAUCAGCCACACUGGGACUGAGACACGGCCCAGACUCCUACGGGAGGCAGCAGUGGGGAAUUUUCCGCAAUGGGCGAAAGCCUGACGGAGCGAUGCCGCGUGGAGGUGGAAGGCCUACGGGUCGUCAACUUCUUUUCUCGGAGAAGAAACAAUGACGGUAUCUGAGGAAUAAGCAUCGGCUAACUCUGUGCCAGCAGCCGCGGUAAGACAGAGGAUGCAAGCGUUAUCCGGAAUGAUUGGGCGUAAAGC
rnacentral:ncRNA from 1 species